rnacentral:rRNA from 1 species
UAUUAGAGUUUGAUCAUGGCUCAGAUUGAACGCUGGCGGCAUGCCUUACACAUGCAAGUCGAACGGUAACAGGUCUUCGGAUGCUGACGAGUGGCGAACGGGUGAGUAAUACAUCGGAACGUGCCCAGUCGUGGGGGAUAACGCAGCGAAAGCUGUGCUAAUACCGCAUACAAUCUAUGGAUGAAAGCGGGGGAUCGCAAGACCUCGCGCGAUUGGAGCGGCCGAUGGCAGAUUAGGUAGUUGGUGGGGUAAAGGCUCACCAAGCCGACGAUCUGUAGCUGGUCUGAGAGGACAACCAGCCACACUGGGACUGAGACACGGCCCAGACUCCUACGGGAGGCAGCAGUGGGGAAUUUUGGACAAUGGGCGCAAGCCUGAUCCAGCCAUGCCGCGUGCAGGAUGAAGGCCUUCGGGUUGUAAACUGCUUUUGUACGGAACGAAAAGUCUCUUUCUAAUAAAGAGGGAUCAUGACGGUACCGUAAGAAUAAGCACCGGCUAACUACGUGCCAGCAGCCGCGGUAAUACGUAUGGUGCAAGCGUUAAUCGGAAUUACUGGGCGUAAAGCGUGCGCAGGCGGUGAUGUAAGACAGUUGUGAAAUCCCCGGGCUCAACCUGGGAACUGCAUCUGUGACUGCAUCGCUGGAGUGCGGCAGAGGGGGAUGGAAUUCCGCGUGUAGCAGUGAAAUGCGUAGAUAUGCGGAGGAACACCGAUGGCGAAAGCAAUCCCCUGGGCCUGCACUGACGCUCAUGCACGAAAGCGUGGGGA